UGGGGAAUAUUGGACAAUGGGCGCAAGCCUGAUCCAGCCAUGCCGCGUGGGUGAUGAAGGCCCUAGGGUUGUAAAGCCCUUUCGGCGGGGAAGAUAAUGACGGUACCCGCAGAAGAAGCCCCGGCUAACUUCGUGCCAGCAGCCGCGGUAAUACGAAGGGGGCUAGCGUUGUUCGGAAUUACUGGGCGUAAAGCGCGCGCAGGCGGUCUUCCAAGUCAGUGGUGAAAGCCCGGAGCUCAACUCCGGAACUGCCAUUGAAACUGUAAGACUUGAGGAUGAGAGAGGUGAGUGGAAUUCCCAGUGUAGAGGUGAAAUUCGUAGAUAUUGGGAAGAACACCGGUGGCGAAGGCGGCUCACUGGCUCAUAUCUGACGCUCAGGCGCGACAGCGUGGGGAUCAAACAGGAUUAGAUACCCCCGUAGUCC
rnacentral:rRNA from 1 species